AUGCAAGUCGAACGGGCGUAGCAAUACGUUCAGUGGCAGACGGGUGAGUAACGCGUGGGAACGUACCUUUUGGUUCGGAACAACCCAGGGAAACUUGGGCUAAUACCGGAUAAGCCCUUACGGGGAAAGAUUUAUCGCCGAAAGAUCGGCCCGCGUCUGAUUAGCUUGUUGGUGAGGUAACGGCUCACCAAGGCGACGAUCAGUAGCUGGUCUGAGAGGAUGAUCAGCCACAUUGGGACUGAGACACGGCCCAAACUCCUACGGGAGGCAGCAGUGGGGAAUAUUGGACAAUGGGCGCAAGCCUGAUCCAGCCAUGCCGCGUGAGUGAUGAAGGCCCUAGGGUUGUAAAGCUCUUUUGUGCGGGAAGAUAAUGACGGUACCGCAAGAAUAAGCCCCGGCUAACUUCGUGCCAGCAGCCGCGGUAAUACGAAGGGGGCUAGCGUUGCUCGGAAUCACUGGGCGUAAAGGGUGCGUAGGCGGGUCUUUAAGUCAGGGGUGAAAUCCUGGAGCUCAACUCCAGAACUGCCUUUGAUACUGAGGAUCUUGAGUUCGGGAGAGGUGAGUGGAACUGCGAGUGUAGAGGUGAAAUUCGUAGAUAUUCGCAAGA
rnacentral:rRNA from 1 species